rnacentral:rRNA from 1 species
GGAUGAACGCUAGCGACAGGCUUAACACAUGCAAGUCGAGGGGCAGCACAGGGUAGCAAUACUUGGGUGGCGACCGGCGCACGGGUGAGUAACGCGUAUGCAACUUACCUAUCAGAGGGGGAUAGCCCGGCGAAAGUCGGAUUAAUACCCCAUGAAACAGGGGUCCCGCAUGGGAUAUUUGUUAAAGAUUCAUCGCUGAUAGAUAGGCAUGCGUUCCAUUAGGCAGUUGGCGGGGUAACGGCCCACCAAACCGACGAUGGAUAGGGGUUCUGAGAGGAAGGUCCCCCACAUUGGUACUGAGACACGGACCAAACUCCUACGGGAGGCAGCAGUGAGGAAUAUUGGUCAAUGGCCGAGAGGCUGAACCAGCCAAGUCGCGUGAAGGAAGAAGGAUCUAUGGUUUGUAAACUUCUUUUAUAGGGGAAUAAAGUGGAGGACGCGUCCUUUUUUGUAUGUACCCUAUGAAUAAGCAUCGGCUAACUCCGUGCCAGCAGCCGCGGUAAUACGGAGGAUGCGAGCGUUAUCCGGAUUUAUUGGGUUUAAAGGGUGCGUAGGUGGUGAUUUAAGUCAGCGGUGAAAGUUUGUGGCUCAACCAUAAAAUUGCCGUUGAAACUGGGUUACUUGAGUGUGUUUGAGGUAGGCGGAAUGCGUGGUGUAGCGGUGAAAUGCAUAGAUAUCACGCAGAACUCCGAUUGCGAAGGCAGCUUACUAAACCAUAACUGACACUGAAGCACGAAAGCGUGGGGAUCAAACAGGAUUAGAUACCCUGGUAGUCCACGCAGUAAACGAUGAUUACUAGGAGUUUGCGAUACAAUGUAAGCUCUACAGCGAAAGCGUUUAGUAAUCCACCUGGGGAGUACGCCGGCAACGGUGAAACUCAAAGGAAUUGACGAGGGCCGGCACAAGCGGAGGGAACAAUGUGGUUUAAUUCGAUGAUACGCGAGGAACCUUACCCGGGUUUGAACGUAGUCUGACCGGAGUGGAAACACUUUUUCUAGCAAUAGCAGAUUACGAGGUGCUGCAUGGUUGUCGUCAGCUCGUGCCGUGAGGUGUCGGCUUAAGUGCCAUAACGAGCGCAACCCUUAUCACUAGUUACUAACAGGUGAAGCUGAGGACUCUGGUGAGACUGCCAGCGUAAGCUGUGAGGAAGGUGGGGAUGACGUCAAAUCAGCACGGCCCUUACAUCCGGGGCGACACACGUGUUACAAUGACAUGGACAAAGGGCAGCUACCUGGCGACAGGAUGCUAAUCUCCAAACCAUGUCUCAGUUCGGAUCGGAGUCUGCAACUCGACUCCGUGAAGCUGGAUUCGCUAGUAAUCGCGCAUCAGCCAUGGCGCGGUGAAUACGUUCCCGGGCCUUGUACACACCGCCCGUCAAGCCAUGGGAGCCGGGGGUACCUGAAGUCCGUAACCGCAAGGAUCGGCCUAGGGUAAAACUGG